rnacentral:rRNA from 1 species
AUUGAACGCUAGCGGGAUGCUUUACACAUGCCAGUCGAACGAGUGGCGGACUGGUGAGUAAUAUAUCGGAACGUGCCCAGUAGCUGGGGAUAACUCCUCGAAAGAGUGGCUAAUACCGCCUACUAUUUUAGCGUCCGAAAUAGGAUUAUCUAGUUGGUGGGGUAAAUGCGCCCCAAGGCAACGAUCCGUAGCUGGUUGGAGAGUACGACCAGCCACCAUGGGACUGAUAAACGGCCCAGACUCCUACGGGAGGAAGCAGUGGGGAAUUUUGGACAAUGGGGGAAACCAUGAUCCAGCCAUCCCGCGUGUAUGAGAAGGCCUUCGGGUUGUAAAGUACUUUUGGCAGAGAAGCGGUAUCUGCAGAAUAAGAACCGGCUAACUACGUGCCAGCAGCCGCGGUAAUAC